UAAACGGUGGGUACUAGGUGUGGGGGACAUUCCACGUUCUCUGUGCCGUAGCUAACGCAUUAAGUACCCCGCCUGGGGAGUACGGCCGCAAGGCUAAAACUCAAAGGAAUUGACGGGGCCCCGCACAAGCGGCGGAGCAUGCGGAUUAAUUCGAUGCAACGCGAAGAACCUUACCUGGGUUUGACAUAUAUCGGAAACGUUCAGAGAUGGGCGCCCCGUAAGGUCGGUAUACAGGUGGUGCAUGGCUGUCGUCAGCUCGUGUCGUGAGAUGUUGGGUUAAGUCCCGCAACGAGCGCAACCCUCGUCCAAUGUUGCCAGCGGGUUAUGCCGGGGACUCAUUGGAGACCGCCGGGGUCAACUCGGAGGAAGGUGGGGAUGACGUCAAGUCAUCAUGCCCCUUAUGUCCAGGGCUUCACGCAUGCUACAAUGGCCGGUACAAAGAGUUGCGAGCCUGUGAGGGUGAGCGAAUCUCAAAAAGCCGGUCUCAGUUCGGAUUGGGGUCUGCAACUCGACCCCAUGAAGUCGGAGUCGCUAGUAAUCGCAGAUCAGCAACGCUGCGGUGAAUACGUUCCCGGGGCUUGUACACACCGCCCGUCAAGUCAUGAAAGUCGGUAACACCCGAAGCCGGUNNNNNNNCCCGUUUGGGGGGGAGCUGUCGAAGGUGGGACUGGUAAUUAAAAGUAAGUCGUAACAAGGUAGCC
rnacentral:rRNA from 1 species